CUCGAGGAGUGGUUCCCGUGCCGCCGCUGAUUCGGUUGCGGGCCGCAAUAGCUAAUCGCAUCAUCACGUCAUUGGCUUAGGGUUGUCGUUUAGAGAAUUGCCUUUGGUUUGGUCUGUUGAAGCGAUGAUCCGAUCCUAACGUCCCGAUCUACACACGCUCGCUACCAUCGGCCUUUUCAUCGCCUGAAUCGCCGCCGACGGAUCCUCUCUCGUGGUUCUAGGAGGGCUGCAAAACUAUUCAGGAACAGAUUUAUGUCGAUUUUAGUGAAUCAGUCAUCCGUUUUGGGCCCAGAAUUGACUGAUGAUGUAGAGGUUGCUCUGCUGUCUGCAGUCGAUGAUGACCAUGGAGGUGUCAUUGUUGAAUUGAAGGAACCAAUGGACCCUGCAGCUUUCCAUACUUCGUUAAGAGCAUCUAUAAGUAAUUGGAAGAAGCAGGGAAUAAAAGGUGCUUGGAUUAAAUUGCCUAUUCAACUUGCAAAUCUUGUUGAAGCUUGUGUUAAGGAGGGAUUUUGGUACCACCAUGCUGAACCCAGUUACUUGAUGCUUGUUUGUUGGCUUCCUAAUACCGAACAUACCAUACCUGUAAAUGCCUCACAUAGAGUGGGAGUUGGAGCUUUUGUAAUGAAUGAUAAAAGAGAGGUUUUGGUGGUCCAAGAAAAGAAUGGCAUACUUAGAGGUUUAGGUCUAUGGAAGUUUCCCUCAGGAGUUGUUGAACAAGGUGAAGAUAUUCAUGCUGGAGUAAUAAGGGAAGUAAAAGAAGAGACAGGAAUUGACACUGAAUUUAUUGAAGUUCUUGCAUUCAGGCAGAGCCACAAGUCGUUCUUUGGGAAGUCAGAUUUAUUCUUUGUGUGCAUGCUACGCCCUCUUUCACACGACAUUUAUCCUCAAGAAUUAGAGAUCGAAGCUGCCCAGUGGAUGCCAGUGGAGGAAUAUGCAGCACAACCUCUCGUCCAGAAACAUGAGCUAUUAAAGUAUAUUCUUGAUGUCGGCAUGGCAAAGAUCGACAAGGGCUAUUCUGGCUUCUCGCCAGUUUCCGUGAAGGCACCAUUCUCUGGUUCACAGGGCCAUCUAUAUCUAAACAGCAGGGACUUGAACCUGCCAAGAACUGUCAACAUGUCUUAGAGAUGUUAAUUGUCUGUGCCGAGUCUAAAAGAUAUAAGUGAUCAAUAACACGCAUUGAGUUCUAAUAUUACAUGCUUCGUGAAAUGUCACAUGGUAACAGUAUGGAUGACAACUAAGAAAGAGAAGAUGAGUAGCUCUUAAUGGUCAUCAAUCUUUUGCCUCUUUGGAGCUUGUUCAGACUCAUCACCGUUGCUCCCCACCACCGAGUCUCCCAUUACUUGAUCGAGAGGUGAAUGGUUGCAGUUAUCCUACAAGCACAUCGAUUGAUAGGAUGUUCAGAUAAAAAGAAAAUGAUAAAGUGCAACAAAUUCGACAUGGCUACUGCAUCGUAAGGGUCACUGAGUUAUUCUUGACCACCAAACAAGCAUCAAACAAACAUUAUCGUUUGAAACCUUAUUGAUGGGGCCCGAGUUAAACAAUGGAACUCAAUGAAGAUUAGUCCGAGACAGCUUUAACCAAGGAGGUACGAAUACCGACAUCCAUGGGUUACCACUAGAGAAAAAGGAUCACAACCGACGAGACCUCGAUACAUCUCUAGUUGCGAUAGCAUGUGCAUUCACAAAUUUAAAUGGAAAGCUGGUAGUAAGAACAGAUGAAAAUGAAUACAUAGCAUAUACCUUUGCACUGGA